GACCUGAUGCAGCCAUGCCGCGUGUGUGAAGAAGGCCUUCGGGUUGUAAAGCACUUUCAGUUGUGAGGAAAAGUUAGUAGUUAAUACCUGCUAGCCGUGACGUUAACAACAGAAGAAGCACCGGCUAACUCCGUGCCAGCAGCCGCGGUAAUACGGAGGGUGCGAGCGUUAAUCGGAAUUACUGGGCGUAAAGCGCACGCAGGCGGUUUGUUAAGCUAGAUGUGAAAGCCCCGGGCUCAACCUGGGAUGGUCAUUUAGAACUGGCAGACUAGAGUCUUGGAGAGGGGAGUGGAAUUCCAGGUGUAGCGGUGAAAUGCGUAGAUAUCUGGAGGAACAUCAGUGGCGAAGGCGACUCCCUGGCCAAAGACUGACGCUCAUGUGCGAAAGUGUGGGUAGCGAACAGGAUUAGAUACCCUGGUAGUCCACACCGUAAACGCUGUCUACUAGCUGUGUGUGUCUUUAAGACGUGCGUAGCGAAGCUAACGCGCUAAGUAGACCGCCUGGGGAGUACGGCCGCAAGGUUAAAACUCAAAU
rnacentral:rRNA from 1 species